UGGACUCUGAAAUUCGCGAGCAAGGACUCUUUGGGAGAGUCGAGACAUUCCAGAUCAACCCGCGAUAUUUGAUGCUCUUCCCAUCAACUUCUCGAGAUGGGCUUUUGAUCUCUUUCUUACCGAUGGGGGAGGGGAUAUAUGAACAAUUGAAAUAUCUGAUCGUGGAACCUGUUCCUGCCAUUCGCGAAUGAAUGAAUGAAUGAAUGAAUGAAUGAUAAAUUACGCGCAAGAUGGAGACAGAGCAGUUCCAAGAAUGUUGAUUGAUACUAUGGUAUCCCUCUGAUCAAGUGUGGGUUCGAAAUCUGUGCCGUGAAAACUGACAUCGGAAAGUGACCCUGGG
rnacentral:sRNA from 1 species